CGCGCGUGUGUUCUGUUAAUAAUCCUCGGUAUUCCUCUCAAUGAUAAAUAAAGACUGUCAAAUAAAUGGGUUGAAAAAAAAUAUUAUGAUAUCCAACCUCAUCCCAGUCCCAUGCAGGGCCCGCAGAAUAGUACUGGACCUAAAGCUAUAUUUCACUUAGAGCCUUCAAUGGGAUUGGUGCUUAUCUCGCCAACACAGCGCUGCUGACCUGUAGGCUGCUGCAUCAGAGGUGUGUGUUUGUGUUGAGGUGUUGACCUGUCAGGGGGGACUUGUUAGGACUUUAACUCCGACUGCUGGUGGCGGUCUCCAGACAUCCGGGGGUGGCAUCGAUUUGAAACUUGUCCUGUCUAAUUUGAUGAUAACAUCCAGCCUGCCCCGCCGCAGUACCAUGGACAGCGCACUGUCUUGACCUUGCCUUGCUAUCAAAUUACCCCCGUCUGGGCCACAGUGGGAGUUUACUAUAGGCUGAGAGAGAGAGAGAGAGAGAAAGAGAGAGAGAGAGAGAGGGAGAGAGAGAGAGAGAGAGCGAGAGAGAGAGAGAGAGAGAGAAAGAGAGAGAGAUUUUGUUUCUUUUUUUUUUUACCAAAGACAAAUCUUUUCUGAAGCCAGUGCUUACACUCUGUAGCACUGUGGUAGAGGAUCAACAUCAAGAGGAUGAUGACGGUUUACACUGACUACCUAUGUAAACCACACACAGUGACACUUAAGCACACUUUAUUUUAUGUUUUCUCACGGGAUUCAACCUUCCCUACAUUACUUCCCUCACUUUAAGACUCUAUUCUUCGAUUUCAAACAGGUCACAUUCAUCGCAAUGAUCCUAAACAUAAAAAAGUUUUCCAGCAACUAGAAAAGGAAGUGGUGAAGUGUUUUUUCCGUUCUUUUUUUUUAAACCCCAAAUAGUUGCCAUGGUGAAAUAUAAAAUGUUCGUUUAAAAAAUGGCUGAAAUUAAUAAAUGAGGGUGCAUUCACAUUGUUAUGAAGGCGUAUUUGCAUGUUUAUUACUGCAUAACUGAAGCUUAGGCAGUGGGAUUUUUUCUCUUGUAAAGGUUUGUUGCACGUGUAACUUUUUUCUUUAUUACUGGGUGAUGAAGACAUGAAAGAGCAGCAUGUUUUUAAAGCCUGUGAUAUAUUAUGAAUAUGAAAUCUUAACCUGUAAACUUAAAGUAACUUAGGCCAUUGUGUGUUUAUAUAUAAAUAUAUGGGAUCUGAUAAAGAUUCUUAUUUAAGUUUAUCAAAUAUUUUAUAGGAUCGAUCAGAGCAUGUUCUGCAGACUGGAGCAAAGCAG
ensembl:lncRNA